rnacentral:rRNA from 1 species
GAUUAACGCUGGCGGCGUGCAUAACACAUGCAAGUCGAACGAUGAAACUUAAAUGAUUUCUUCGGAAUGAACUUAAGUGGAUUAGUGGCGGACGGGUGAGUAACGCGUGAGUAACCUGCCUUACACAAGGGGAUAGCCGUUGGAAACGACGAAUAAUACCCUAUGAAACUAUCACUUCGCAUGAAGCGAUAGUCAAAGUGUUAGCGGUGUAAGAUGGACUUGCGUCUGAUUAGCUAGUUGGUGAGAAAAAAGCCCACCAAGGCAACGAUCAGUAGCCGGCUUGAGAGAGUGUACGGCCACAUUGGGACUGAGACACGGCCCAGACUCCUACGGAAGGCAGCAGUGGGGAAUUUUGCACAAUGGGGGAAACCCUGAUGCAGCGACGCCGCGUGAUUUAGAAGGCCUUCGGGUUGUAAAAAUCUUUUGUAUAGGAAGAAAAUGACAGUACUAUACGAAUAAGGUCCGGCUAAUUACGUG